GUCGCCGCGCGGGCGCCGGAACGGGCGCACAGCUCCCUCUGCAGGAGCACCAGCCGCGCCCGGGCGCACGGAGGAGCACGCUGGCGACGCCGCGCCACGCCGCUCGGCGACCGGCCUCCCGCAGCCCCGCGCUACGCCGCCUCCCCUCCUUCGCGCCCAGGAAGGAAAACUUUGCCUCUUCCCUGACCUAGGCCGGCUUUCCCCAACCCGCCCGUCCGCCUGCCUGCCACCAGCCACUCUGUAUAUGGAAGAAGAAAUGCUUCAAGGUGAUCGUGAAGGAAGUACAGCUUCCUCCCUUAACCCUUGAUGGACACGGACUGCUCGGCCUCCAGGCUGAAGAGGUUCUUCAGAGGUGUUGCCAAGACAAUGGAUGAUCCCUUGUUGGAGAUUUACUGACUGAUGGGGAGCGAGGGUCAACCACGUGUCCAGCUCCUUGGACCUCGACAGCUGAAAACCUGCACUCCCUGGUUGUAUACCCUUCAUGUUUUCCAGGUUCUAGAUCUGUGCUGUCCCUUUAAUCCCGUAACAAACUCUAUUUAACAGAUACAGAAAAAUCUCAGCCACCUUAAAGCGCCUAAGUCACCCAACACUAAGACAGAACCAAGGCUCCCUUACUUCAGUUGGUCCUAAAGUCCACCUCCCUGUUAUCAAUGAAGCAUUUGAACUGUUUUAGAAAUGGAAGUGUUAUCUCCAGAAUAAAGACCAGAGUGUCUCUGUUACUGAGGGGGUGGGUAGGGGCAUGGGGAGCACCUCCAAGACAGCCUUCAGCAGCAUCUUUUUUAUAGCACUGAUUGAACUUUGUCCCUAAGAGGCAGGCUAGUGAUUUGCUGCUCAGCACCACCUCAAGUUGCUUAUGAAAGUAUUCCUCCCACCCACACAUUGUUGAGGGAUAUUUUUGUGCAUUGUGCAUUCAAAUGCUGAUUUCUGUACCCAGAGAUUUAGUUACUGCCGUAAACCUGUCAUUAUUGUGAAGCCUCUCCUGACUCAGUGUUUGGUAAAACUUUGUCCUCGCCAGGCGUGGUGGCACACGCCUUUAAUCCCAGCACUCUGGAGGCAGAGGCAGGCGGAUUUCUGAGUUCAAGGCCAGCCUGGUGUACAAAGUGAGGUCCAGGACAGCCAGGGCUAUACAGAGAAACCCUGUCUCGAAAAUCAAAAAAAAAAAAAAAAAAAAAAACAGAAAAAAACAACAACAACAACAAAAAAAAACAUUGUCUUCCACCAUCUUCUGAUUGGACACAGAUAGCUGGGCAGGAGAGGAAAAGGUGGGACUUCCAGAAAGGGGGGUCUCAGGUGGGACCCAGGGAGAUGCCAUCGGAACAAUGAAAGAGAUGCCAAGCACGAUGGCAGGAAUGGGCCACAUGGCUGGGGAGUAGGCCAGAGUUGUAACCUGACUGUAGUCAGGGUAGAAUAGCCCAGAAUCUGUCCAGCUUAGUGCCUGAAGGUCUAAAGGUGUCUGUGUCUUUCAAAGCAAGGUCAGACACAGAAAAGCCUGUACUUUAACAUGUUUUACCCCAUGAGGGAUGAUGGAGGGUAGGGAGGGUACUAAAAUCCAUCCCACCACUUACAACACUCCAACAAGCCUUGCAACAAAUUCACAUGCGUUCUUUGUAUAUCUGAAGAUCUUUGUAUAUCAGCUCAGCACCUUGGGGAAAUUCCACCCCUCCCUGGAAGAGAGAGGUUAGGGAGGGGCUCCUUACAUUGCUCAGAAAAACCACAGUUGGCCCCCUGCAGAUAAGGGAAGCAUUUGCUACCUCAUUCCCUAAGGACCAAUCAGUUUAAAAGACUGUUCUGCCCAUCAUAUAGUGCCUAGUGGCUGAUGCUCUAUUCUGCCCCUGGAAACUGUAAAAACUCACUGAACAGGCUGACCAGGGUCACGGCCUCUCCUUCAGGUGUGGGACUACCCCAAGGCAUUAGAACAAUAAAUUCCUCUUGCUUUUACUUCGA